GGUCCUCAGCUUUUUCAGACUUUCACAGUUCACCGAAGUCCCGUAACAAAAAUCAUGCUAUCAGAGAAGCAUCUUGUAUCAGUCUGUGCAGAUAAUAAUCAUGUCCGGACGUGGACAGUAACACGAUUCAGAGGAAUGAUCUCUACUCAGCCAGGUUCUACUCCUUUAGCGUCAUUCAAGAUACUAUCCCUGGAGGAGACAGAAAGUCAUGGUAGCUAUUCCUCUGGAAAUGACAUAGGACCUUUUGGAGAGCGAGACGAUCAACAGGUGUUUAUCCAGAAAGUUGUUCCCAUCACCAACAAACUAUUUGUAAGACUCUCAUCGACUGGAAAAAGAAUAUGUGAGAUCCAGGCUGUUGACUGUACUACAAUAUCCUCAUUUACAGUGAGGGAAUGUGAGGGAUCCAGUAGGAUGGGCUCAAGACCAAGGCGCUACUUGUUCACAGGCCAUACAAAUGGCAGUAUUCAAAUGUGGGAUCUGACCACUGCUAUGGAUAUGGUUAACAAAAGUGAAGAUAAGGGUAGGUGGUCCAACCGAAGAAGAGCUACUCAAAUUACUCGAUCAAUGUGAUUUGAGCACAUCUCGCUGUGCUACUCCUAACAUCAGUCCAGCAACUUCCGUAGUUCAGCAUAGCCACUUACGAGAAUCAAAUUCUAGCCUUCAGCUUCAGCACCAUGAUACCACCCAUGAAGCAGCUACUUACGGUUCCAUGAGGCCUUACAGAGAAAGUCCUUUAUUAGCAAGGGCAAGAAGGACUGAGAGCUUUCACAGUUAUAGGGACUUCCAGACUAUUAAUUUGAACAGAAAUGUAGAAAGAGCUGUCCCUGAAAAUGGUAACUUGGGUCCAAUACAAGCUGAAGUGAAAGGGGCAACAGGGGAAUGUAAUAUAUCUGAGAGAAAGUCUCCUGGAGUAGAAAUAAAAAGUUUGAGAGAAUUGGAUAGUGGAUUGGAAGUGCAUAAAAUAGCUGAAGGUUUUUCAGAAUCCAAG
rnacentral:lncRNA from 1 species